AACGCUGUCAUCUCUUUCCCCUUAAAGGCGCUUCUUCCCCUAUUUAUAUUCCACUCUACAAUCUCAAUUUUCAGAUCCAAAAAAAAAAACUCUCUCGGGUUCUCUCUUAUUUGUCUUCAGAUUCUAGUAGAUCGUGAAAUGAUCUAUCUUCUGACCAUGCAUUCUCUUGGUCCCGGAUUCGAUUUCUCGCGUAGGCUUCCCGGCCUAAAUAGAUCUGAUAUCGAUGUGAUAUUCCUCUCUUGGCUUGAAUUUGGAUCGGAAAGUCUUGAAGGAUCGUGCUGCCAAUUAACGUAGUCUAUGGAGUUUUGUGCUUCGAUCUGGUGAAAAUAUUUCUUGAUGUCGAGAAUCCGGAUUUCUUGCUGAGGAGGAGAUCUCUUCCUUGCAGGAACACCUAAAGAUCACACUGACUACGGUGAUUGGCCGUUUCGCGGGAUGGAGCAGGGGGUAUUGGCGUUGUGCCGGUGUUCGCGAAUAUUAAUAGGCUGCUAAUGAGUUAUGGGUAAAUUAUUCACAUGUGCUUGUUAAUAUAUUCAGCAAUUAUUCUCUCCGACCAUGUUAAAUAUAGAGUUUAGCGUGAUUGGUGGUUUGUUGGGUGAGUGGCGGAGUGGAUGAAAAGGUAUUGAGAUAUGUAGAUCUCUGAUGGAUGUUGUUAAUUGUGUCAGUCCGACCUUUGCCAUGUCAGGUGCGCUUGCUUGGCAGGUCAAAAAACCUAAUAAAAAAGAGAAUAUUUUUGGGUUUUGAAGGGGGAGAUGGCACGGGAUUAUUUAUUUAUUUAUUUUGCCCGGCUCUCCCCCUUCUGUGUUGGACAGGCUCCUUGUUUCCCUAUCUUUCUACCCACUUUCUUGUUUCUGCUGGACGGAUACCAAAAACAUAGCACAUCGUACACGGAAACCAGUGUACCAGCAGGAAUCAGCACUAACAACAUCAAUUCAUCACCCAAAGGUAUAUUCUGCUAUGGACAAGUUAAUUUCCUAAUAUAUUAUUAUUAGCUGUCUGCAUUAAGUUAUCUCCCAGCUUUUGUGGAACAGUUAACUAUUUCAUACAUAAUAUCAUAACACGAAGUGAUCACACUACCCUCAACUGUUCAAACGGCCCUUGUUAUUCAUUUACAAUAUUAUUUAUAAACUUUGAGAAAAUGUUCAUUUAAGUUUACACCUGGUGUAGAUAAAUUUGAGCCCUGGCAUCUUAACGCACAUGUGCACUGGAAUAACGAGAUGUUUGAUUUGCAGCUACCUUCCCCAUGGCAUUCUAGUCAUUGCUCACAAUGUCUACAAUCUGACUAUUCUAGCCACUGCUCACAAUGUCUUCUAGCCACAUGCAUGUUUUUUUUUGGGUGUUGUUUCAUUGCCUGCAAUCUAAUAAUAUUGAGAAAGUCCCAACAAUUUAUGACACUCAACUGCUCCAUUCAAGUUUGGAUAAAACCUGUUAUGCCGUGUGGAAAGACAAGCUAGAUGAGAUCUGAUAAAAUCCCGUUGCAAAGACAAGCUAUAUUAUUGUUUCAGUUUUGAUUCUGAGUAUCUCGACCUCAUACUUUCUAUUUUAUUGAUCACUUUUUAGAUGUUAAUAUUUAUUUACACUUAAUUCCAGUAUGAUUUUGUUAUGCAAUAUUUGUAGCCAAAAUUUCUCCCUCAGUGUAUCGGUUGUGUUAUAGCACACUGUAUUUUUCAGGGAGGAGUUAUGGAUAGUGGAUUGUUGUCACGUGAUUAUCUAUUGUAACUACGGUAUUAUUACAGCUUGUAUAGUGUUUUGAUCAAAUCUAGUCAUCCAAAAUGUAUUUUGGAAGACCUAUUGCUCCUGUAAGCUCUCUUAGCUAAUGCCUUUUCCUGCGACUGUAAUAUUGGAGGGCAUUCAAGGAUUGCCGCAUCAUGAUCUGCUACCCAAACCCAUGUUGGAAUUUAUCAUGUUCAGCCACUCUGCCUUUGGGAGCAAGUUCUGAUUCUAAUGCUUUUCCUGCGACUGUAAUAUUGGAGGGCGUUCACGGGUUGCCGCGUCAUUCAAACCUGUGUUGGAAUUUAUCAUGUUCAGCCACUCUGCCUUUUGGAGCAAGUUCUGAUUCUGGAGUUCACUUGUGCUGCCUUCUCACUAUUUGACAGAGACAAGGAGCGAUAUGCAGGAUCGGAGGUUAAUUGAUGAAGUGAGGCGUCGACACAUGAGCCUGACCUAGCCGAGCCUAUGUUGGAUCUAGGCACCACCCAUUUCUCUUCCAGGCCCGUGUUUUCUUGCCAUGACCUUGAUUGUUAUUAUACCAAGCUUUUUGAGGAUUGCCUGGAAUUCAUGUCUUGCGGAAUAUGCUUCAAUUGUACCUGAAUGACAUCAUGGUGCUAUUCGAGAGGAGAGCUACCUAGAAGAGGUGUUACAGUAGUAAUGGCUGUUAAAUGAAUUGAUACAUCUGAUUUGAGUUGACUAGUAUUAUUUCCAUCGAGAAGCCUUUUUUCUGCUAGGAACGUCAAUCAGCGUUGUUCUUUUCGCCUUAAAUAGCUAAGCUUUAUCGCACAUGGAAUGCUUUUUUUAUCCAGGGGACUUCAUUUGUCUCUCAUCAAGCGUGUGUUAUCCGUGUCUUUAAAGCGUUGUAUGCAUGCCAAGGUAACAGAAUUCAGGUUCUUUGCAUGGUUUUAUGAUUUUGAGUGUCUUCAUCCCCAACUCUUCUUAGGUAUCCUGCUCGAAAGACACUGUAUUUUCUUAUAGGUAUGUUGAUGUUUUCAUUUCCUCCAAGUGGAUGGUAUUUCAAGGCGUAAAUACCAAUAUAAAGGUUAAAAACCCUUUUUGAUAUUUCAAGGCGUGUCUUAUGUGGAAGUGGGUUCGGGGUGCAAAGAGCACUUGAUCUUUAUCAUCGAGGUAAAAACUACUUUUAUUUGCUUGUCAUGAAAAGUAUUUUCAUAUGGUUUUUUCGCCUUGAAUUUUUGGCUAACCAGUCUUGAUAUUUAGUGUCAUGUCUCAAAUUUUAUGGUGCUCAGCACUAGAUGGAGAUAUUCUUUUUGUGCCUGCUAUCUGCCAGGUGCAUCUCGGAAGUAAUUAAUAGCAAGCUACUCGUUAUUCUGAGCACCAUAGGAUUUUUAAUAAAAAUUAAUAUGUUGAGAUCCAAUAGCUCAAACUCGGUAAGAGCGUCCUAGCCUUAGUGCUAGCGAGAUUGGUGGUUCAAAUCCACCUGGAUCUGUAUUUUUUUGGUUAAUUUUUAUGUGUGGUCAAACGUUUAAAAGCCUGUAAAAUGUAAAAUGCUCGAGGUUCUAUCAUGAUUCGAUUACUAAAAUUAUUUCAUUAAAAAAACUUAAAAAAUUUAAAAAUAUAAAUUAUCAUAAAAAAUUAAGUGAGAAAAAAACAAAAGAUGACAUUAAUAAAAUAUAGAGCAUUAUUAGGAGUUGUUUGCGCGUUUCAUGACUUUGUAUGAUAGUUUAUAUUUUGUAAAAUAUAGAGCAAUAAAAAACGCAAUUGAUUUGUUUAAUUAGAAUUGCUUAUUUUUUGUUCGGUGAUGGAGACAUUCUUCAGUGUCCCUUUUUGUUUUCUUAUGACUCUUGGUGCAUGUAAAGGCCCCAAUGGUUCAAACAAUGGUAGGUACUGUUGGGGGCCACUAAAUCAAACAAUGUCAAUGGUGCAUAUAAAGGGCCAAUGGUUCACAAACUGGUGGCCACGAGUUUUUCAACUGGAUCCAAUCGCUCAAUCCGGUAAAGAGCACACAAUACAAGCCGUAAUUAAAGACUAAGCGUGUUUGGCAGUGUGGUUGCGGGUGCUUUUCAAAUAACUUUUCGUGUUAAAAUGCAUGCCAACGAUGUUUUUUUAUUUUUUAAAAUUUAUUUUUGACAUCAGCACAUCAAAACGAUCCAAAACGUACAAACCAUAUUAAAUUUUAGCAAAAAAAAAAAACAAAAAAUUUUUAAAUUUUUUGGGAACGCGGCCGCAGCCGCGUUCCCAAACGGUCCCUACCUGAUAAGUUUGCUUUUUUAUUUUUAAAGUUGGGAAUCUAGAAAUACCCAUGUUUUCUUUUUGUGUUUUUAGUUUAUUGUUUGCUUUGAAGGGUCAAAUAAACUCCGGAGAUGAAAAUGAAAUUUAAAACAGAUGAAGAAGAUACAGCGUCGAGGGUUUUCCAUAGAGUAAGAAGAAAGAGGCUGCUACUAAGAUGGACAAGUCGUCUUUUCUUUUGGUUCCUCGUUAGUUUAAUUAAAUGAAUGAGAAAAAGGUUAAAUAUUGCCUUCUAUUUCGAGUUAAGUUAGUUUUUAUAAUCAAGAGGGAGGAAACUGUCCCUCAAUUUGUAGAAUAAGAAACUGGCUUGGUUAUUGCUUCUUGUUUUUUGGCAGCAGUCCACCCUUCCAUCUUUUCAUGCAAAAUCAGCGGCUUCUUGUUUUUUUUUUUGUUUUUAAAUUUUUUUCUUUGAAUUUUUUUUCCAUUUAAUUUUUUCAAUUUAAUUAGUUGAUAACUUUUUUGAACACAUCUAACCUCAGGUAAAGUUUGGAUCAUUACUUUAUGCACUUACAUCGUUUGUUUCUUUUCAUAGUGGAAUAAGCCACAUAAAAGUGCAUUAGUGUUGUAUGAUACCUCAUUAUAUUGGAUAUAUGAUGUUUUUUAAUAUAGAAUUGAACCCAUGAUUUUACGAGCUGAUUUUUAAUCAUGCCUGUUUGAUUGAACUACACUGUUGAUUACAUCGUUCGUCAACGGUAAGCCUUCCCUCACUGCCUGAUUUCCAAAUUUCAAUAGUUGUUUAUCAUCUUGAGCUGUUUUUUUCCCAUCACAACAAUCUUAGUUUGCCACAUCGAACUCAUCCUUGACAAGAGCAUCAUUGGGAUAUGCGUGUAGCACUCCGAGUUCAAUUGAAACAGAGAGAAUAAAUUUAUCUAAAAGACUUAGUCUAGGAUAUGCUCGGUGUUCUUUCGUCUUUAUUUCUGUCACUUUUAGUUUAAAUCAUGAUUUAGAAAUUUUGUUCAAGUUGAAAAAUGGGUUUGUAUCUAUUGUUUCUUUCAUAUUUGAUUCAAUCUGGACAAACAAAAAAAACUGUUUUCUCAGUGGAUUUGUUAUCAAUUUGUGGUAUGUUUAGUUUUGCUAGUUGCACAAAUUGCUUUUAAAUAAGUGUACUUUUGAACCCAAUGUGGUUUCAGGUAAGACUUCCGUUAUGGUUGCUGCUAGCUGGUCUUGGAAGUUGGGGUUUUCCCUUUCUUUUUGGUUUGAUGAAUGAUGAAAGCUGUCUCUUCUUUUGCGUUCUUUCUUUGUCAUACUCUUUUUUUCUCUCUUUUUGCUUCAAACUUGAUUCUUUAUUAAUUUAAUUGUUGGCCAUAAAUUUGCUAUUAUUUGCCGUAAAGCAUACAAAGAUAGGAAACUAGCCUUGCUACGAGAUGCACUUAAAUCUCUAUUUCUUUUUAUUGCCGUUAUACCUGAGUUUUUUAAAUUUGAGUAUGGCUUUGAUUGCAAAAUUUGCAGGUUGAUAAGCUGAGAAAGACACUUAGACGUGAAGAGAAUGUUCAUACACCUUUGGAGAGAGCUUUUACUAGGCAUUUGGGAGCUCUACCUCGCUUACCUCCUUAUCUGCCUCCAUAUGCUAGAAUGCCCUCUAUCUAGUCUUGUUAAGAAAAUUAGCCUAUCCUAUCCACUGUUGAAUUUUUGCUUGUUUCCUAUAAACAGUAACCAGUAAGGGUUCUUAUUUGGUUUGCUCUCAACUAAUUCAAAUCUUCAGGUUCAGAUCUUCUUGCCUUUAAACACUUCAAAUAUUUCGUUGUCAAUAUGUUUUGUUUAUAUUUUACACUGCCUUUUUAUUGCUGCCUGGGUAUUUGAUAUAGGAUAAACUUAAUUCUGAUUUUUUUUUUUAUAAAACAAGUUCUUUGAUUGGGCAAUGAUUUUUCUACAAUUUUGGUCUUUUUAUGAGCUUCAAAGAGUUGACUUUGGAUGCAUGCAUGUUGUUGAUGGUGUUAGUUGCCUUGAUGGUUAGAAUUCCGGUUAUUUUUCUGUUUUGGUGUGUUAACUGAAGCCAUGAUUUCAUUAAGCAAUUGGGGAAUUUGGUGAAAACUUAAAGAGCACAAAUUGAAAAUUUUAGAGAUUAUUGAAAAUGCUUUUAAAGAGAAGCAAGCUAUGUGCCAUUAAGUUUUUGUGAAAGUGGCGCCAUUUCUCUGAGCCUUAUCACGAUCCCAUCCACUUCAAGGCUCCUUGGAGGAUUCUCUCACAUACCGUUAGAGGAAAGAAAGUAUCAGGACCUUUGUUUUUUCGCAAAAGAUUCAGGGGGGAUUUUACCUUGAUCGUGCUUGAGAUUCUUAGAGAUGUAAGGGAAGCAAUUCAAAAGACUACAGGCUAAGGAUCGGUUGAACUUAUUAAAAAAAUGCUGAAAGAGACCUGGAGUGGUACAUUGAUGCUACUCUUUUUUUUUUAAUGUUCCAAAGGAGCAUAACAAAGCUUUUCGGUACCGCCUGUACUGUACUCUUCUUUUGCUUUGCUUUUGUCUGCUAAUCUGAUUGCUAGGUUAGUUUUCGAUUUUUGUAGCAGAAAUAUAUUUUGAGGUAUGUAAAAGAAGAAUAAUUCUGACAGAAUGAGUGCAAUAUAUUUAUGUAACCUCCUCUUGGAAAACAUCAUUUUCCACCAAAGAGGAGGAGAAAAUUGUGCUUCA